GUACUCGCUUCGGCGGUACAUAUACUAAAAUUGCACCGAUACAGAGAAGAUUAGUACGGCUCCUGCGCAAGGAUGGCACACAAAAUCAUGAAGUGUUCCACAGCCGU